rnacentral:lncRNA from 1 species
UGGACAAAGCAUCCAGCUUGGCUGCUGUGGAGCAACGUUCAUACUGGAUUAGAAAAGUGUGCCAAAAACUCCCACCGGUGAGAAUUCCUAGGUGUCCCAGCGUAUCAAUGAGCACUUACACGAUUCUCCUCUUUCCUGUUUACUGCAAAUUUUGCCUUAAGGCUUCUCGUCAUCAGGACUCAGAAGCCACUAAUUACAAAGGAAAGGGCAGUUAGUUGGCACAUUUUUCUGUCUUGAAGCAGUGCUUUCAGAUAAGAAUUAAUGUAAAUCUGCUUUUGUAAAUUGCAACUUUAAAUUAAACUGACUCAAAUUUACAACAGCUUUGUAUACCAGAAGAGGUUUUGGUAAGAGUUGAACAUUUUUAAACAGAAACUUUAAAGCCUCACCAACAGAUUGUGGAUUAAUUCACACGCACACACAUAAACGAGUGUGCGCACACGCACACACUAAUUAACUAAAUUAGAACACACACACACAAAUAGCUAAAUCGGAAACCAGUUUGCAAUUUUAUAUAACUACUAAUUAUUAAUGAGCAAAAUUCAUUUUUCUUUUAAUAUUUAAAAUAUACUCUCUAUACCCCUGAAAUGCAUUAAUAGAGGUUAACAAUUGUGUCUCAUGCCUAGAUUUAACAUUUUUGGCAAAUCCAAAAUCCUUUUAACUCACAUCUACAUUAGCAGUUAUUAGUUGACUUUUACUAAUAGAUACACCUUUAUGAUGGUGUUUUUGUAGAAACAUAAGUAGUCCAAUAGUGGCAUUUCUUGCAGUUUUGUACAGUAUUUCAGUAUAGUGCAUAAAUAAGUAUGUUCAUAAAAUCAAAUAAAAGGAGUAUCUUAUGGAAAUAAGAAAAAUCACAACAAAAAUUGCUAUUCAUUUGCCUCGUUUAAAUUUCAUUUUUUUUCAUUUUCUUUGUUUUAGUGUGAUUCUAUUAUGUGCUUUGCAUGACUGUAUUAAUACCAAGGUCACAAAAUGCAUCUUAUUAACAGAAUUUGCCGUGAAGACAGCCUCGACAUUAAAAAUUCCCUCACCAAAGGUGUAGAGAGUCAAUAACACAUAAGUUCCACAAGGGAGAUUACUUUGCAUGCGUUUCACUACACAAGGAAUCCCCAGUGCCUGCAUGCUACUUGGAAACUGACAUGUCAUAAAUAAAAAUAAAUAAAUAAAUAAAUAAAUAAAUAAAUAAAUAAAUAAAAUGUUGAGUGAAUGAAUAAAGAGUGAUGACCAUAAAAUGGGACGUUUAUUAGAAGCAGGAGGAGACUACUUGCAUGUUUUUGAUUAAUCACCUUAAUCCUCACAGUAAGUCAGCGAGGUAGAUGUUAGGAUACUCAUUUUAUAAAUGAGGAAAUUAAAGCAGAGACAGAAACUACAUCACCCAAGUUUGUAGAUAUGUAUCUCUGUACAUAUAAUAUUUAUGUACAUAUUAUAUGUUGUAUUAUGUGUAUUACAUACAUGUGCUUGUACAUAGGCAUGUACAUCUUACCUCUUACCUACCUGUCCACGCGCCUCCCAUCAUGUCUACAGGAUAGCAGGUGCUCAACAGAUGUAACUCUACUUCUCUAUUCCUCUUAUUAAAGGUCCUAUAUUUAACAUGCAGAUUAAAUAAAAUCUCACAAUGAAUUAAUAGUUAGCCUAGUAUAAUACUCGAAGUUCAUCAGGUGAUUUGAACAGCGAGAUUUUCUUUCUCUCUCUCCUUCUCCUCCUCUCACGUAUAUAAUAAUAAUUGGUCUGUCUAGCUUUCUUUCUCAACGACUUAGGAAAAGAUUUUUGUGUCUCAAAAAUUAUAGCCACCUUACUUAUUCAGAAAUUUUAUU